AGGGCUGUUCUUCACGAAAUUAUUCAAGGUAUCAAGCCAAUUAAUUGGGAGGGGCCGAAACCGUAAGUUUGGCGUACCUCGGUUGAUACGAAGGUAGCAGGUUGCUUAGAGUGGGUCCAUUACCGGUCAUUGUGUUAAGGUGUUUUGCUAGCGUCAGGUGAGAUUUUGGUUACGUUGUUGUGGAGUGCCUUAACUGGUGCAGAACUUAAUUUGUAUGAAGUUGUAGCU